rfam:Salmo salar isolate Sally breed double haploid chromosome ssa18, whole genome shotgun sequence.
UGAAUGCACUAACUGUAAGUCGCUCUGGCUAAGAGCGUCUGCUAAAUGACAAAAU